CCUGGAACAUGGUAAGCAGUAAGUAAAUUUUAGCCAUUAGCUAGUUCUAUCCUGUUUUACAGAUGAAGGAAAUCCAGCCCAGAGAUGCCUAGUGACCUUCCCAAAGAGUUGAGACUGGAACUCAUGUCUCCUCAUUUCCAGAGCAAUUUGUUUUCAGUACAAGUUGUAGAAUGAUGGCAGACAAGCUCUAAAGGUCAAACAUUCUGGCAGGAGGCAUUUGCAAUGUACAGUCAAGUGAAUUAUCUCAGCCGAUGUGGAAUAGAGAGCAAGGCAGGAAGGAUGUGGAGUCUUUUCAAUGAACUAGAGAAAGGAAAGCACAUCUUCCCAUUUAGAAGUCCACGUUCCCACGGGCGGAAUAUUUUACAGGAUCCCUCCAAUAGAGCAACAGAAGUGUGCUGCCUGAGAGACUGGGUCAGCAGCCUGGUCUGAGUAACCAAAGCUGAGUCCUGACCACUACUCCUGUG
ensembl:lncRNA